GAAAGGGCGCACGGCGGAUGCCUGUGGCUCAGGAAGGCGAUGAAAGGCGCGGCAAGCUGCGAAAAGCCGCGGGGAGGCGCAAGCAGCCGUUGAUCCGCGGGUUCCUGAAUGGGGCAACCCGUCCGCGUGCAGCGCGGACAUCCUCCACGAGGAGGAGGCAAACGCGGGGAACUGAAACAUCUUAGUACCCGCAGGAAGAGAAAACAAAACGUGAUUCCCCCAGUAGUGGCGAGCGACCGGGGAAGAGCCCAAACCGCCCGGGUUCCGGCCCGGGCGGGGUUGUAGGACCGCGUCACUGCAAGAGGACCGGCGAGCGGAAGCGCCUGGAAAGGCGCGCCAUAGAGGGUGACAGCCCCUUACGCGCAGCCGUCCGAAGCACAGCGGGAUCCUGAGUAGCGCGGGGCACGUGGAACCCCGCGUGAAUCCGGCGGGCCCAUCCGCCAAGGCUAAAUACUCUCCUGAGACCGAUAGCGAACAAGUACCGUGAGGGAAAGGUGAAAAGCACCCAUAGCAUGGGAGUGAAAAAGUUCCUGAAACCGUGCGCCUACAAGCUGUCAGAGCGGACUCCGUUCCGUGAUGGCGUGCCUUUUGCAUAAUGAGCCUACGAGUUGCCGGCACAUGCGAGGUUAAGCGCGACGACGCGCGCAGCCGGAGCGAAAGCGAGUCUGAAGAGGGCGAGUAUAGUAUGUGUCGGCAGACGCGAAACCAGGUGAUCUACCCAUGGCCAGGCUGAAGUCCCGGUAACACGUGAUGGAGGGCCGAACCGAUAAGCGUUGAAAAGCUUCCGGAUGAGCUGUGGGUAGGAGCGAAAGACCAAUCAAACCUGGAGAUAGCUCGUACUCCCCGAAAAGCAUUUAGGUGCUGCCUGGGGCGUUCCCCGCGCGAGGUAGAGCGACCGGUAGGAUGCGAGGGCUUCACCGCCUGUCAAGUCCUGUCGAACUCCGAAUGCGCGCGGGCCAAGCCCUGGAGAAAGGGGGCGGGUGCUAACGUCCGCUCCCGAGAGGAGAACAAUCCUGACCGCCGUCUAAGGCCCCGAAGUCAUAGCUAAGUUAGUCUAACGCAGUCUCUUCCCCAUGACAGCUAGCAUGUUGGCUUGGAAGCAGCCAUUCAUUCAAAGAGUGCGUAACAGCUCACUAGUCGAGGGAUCAGGCAUGGAUAAUAAUCGGGUAUGAAGCUAUGCGCCGAAGCCGCGGGAUACACAGUAUCGGUAGGGGAGCAUUCCGGCCUGCCUAGAAGCCGCUGGCGCGAGCCGCGGUGGAGCGCCCGGAAAAGCAGAUGUAGGCAUAAGUAACGAUAAGGGGAGCGAGAACCUCCCCCGCCGCAAGACCAAGGGUUCCCGGGCGACGCCAAUCGGCCCGGGGUAAGUCGGCCCCUAAUGAUAAGCCGAAAGGCGAGGCAGAUGGAAGAGGCGGUCAACAUUCCGCCACUUCCGGCAGCAGCGACGCGGGGACGCGGGAGUGAAACCUCCCCCUGCUGACGGAAUAGCAGGGUUAAGGGCGUAGGCUGUGAGGGAGGCAGUCAAGCACACCUCCCGAGCCGAACCUGAAAGUACGCGAGGGGAUCCGUCCCCGAGCGAGCGAGGGUAACCAUGCCGCCGAGAAAAUCCGCUAAGCACCAAUGGUGCCGGAAGCCGUACUCUAAACGGACACACGUGGUCGGGUAGAACAUACCAAGGCGCUUGGGUGAUUCGUGGUUAAGGAAUUAGGCAAAUUGACCCCGCAACUUCGGGAUAAGGGGUCCUCCGGCGACGGAGGCGCAGAGAAUAGGUCCAGGCAACUGUUUACCAAAAACACAGGACUGUGCUAAGCAUAGAGGCCAAGUAUACAGUCUGACACCUGCCCGGUGCUGGAAGGUUAAGAGGAGAUGUCAUCGCAAGAGAAGCAUUGAAUUGAAGCCCCAGUAAACGGCGGCCGUAACUAUAACGGUCCUAAGGUAGCGAAAUUCCUUGUCGGGUAAGUUCCGACCUGCACGAAUGGUGUAAUGAUCCGGACACUGUCUCAACCACGAGCCCAGUGAAAUUGUAGUAUCGGUGAUGAUGCCGAUUACCCGCGAUGGGACGAAAAGACCCCGUGAACCUUUACUGCAGCUUAGUGCUGCGCCCGGGCAUCGGACGUGUAGGAUAGGCCGGAGGCAAUGAAGUGGCGGCGCCAGCCGUCACGGAGCCGCCGUUGAAAUACGGCCCUUCCGCUGUCUGGGCGCUAACUCGCAAGAGCGAGGACACCGCUUGGCGGGCAGUUUGACUGGGGUGGUCGCCUCCAAAAGAGUAACGGAGGCUCCUAAAGGUGCCCUCACGCCGAUUGGUAACCGGCGGCAGAGUGCAAUGGCAUAAGGGCGCUUGACUGGGAGGCAGACAUGCCGAGCAGGUGGGAAACCAGAGCAUAGUGAUCCGGUGGUUCCGCGUGGAAGGGCCAUCGCUCAAAGGAUAAAAGGUACUCCGGGGAUAACAGGCUGAUGAUUCCCAAGAGCUCAGAUCGACGGAAUCGUUUGGCACCUCGAUGUCGGCUCGUCACAUCCUGGGGCUGGAGAAGGUCCCAAGGGUUGGGCUGUUCGCCCAUUAAAGUGGCACGCGAGCUGGGUUCAGAACGUCGUGAGACAGUUCGGUCUCUAUCUAUCGUGGGCGCAUGAGACUUGCGCGGCUCUGUCACUAGUACGAGAGGACCGUGACGGACCGGCCGCUGGUCUGCCAGCUGUGCCGCCAGGCGCACCGCUGGGUAUCCAAGCCGGGAUCGGAUAAGCGCUGAAGGCAUCUAAGCGCGAAGCCGGCCGCAAGAUUAGGUCUCACAGGGCCGUCGCAGACUACGACGUUGAUAGGAUGCAGGUGCAAAGGCGGCGACGCCAAAGCCGAGCAUUACUAAUUGCCCGCCAGCUUUGCCU
rnacentral:rRNA from 1 species